CAUUCCUGGCACUUCAGAGGAGCUUUCUAGGAAGAGAAGCCUUCUGCCUGUGAACUGCCAACACCUCUCCUGUCCCCAGGGCUCAGCUCCACGGCUCGACUGACACAGAACUGCUCAGCUUUGGAGACUGAGAGAGACAAACGAGCAAUUUGCCAGGAAAGGAUCCCCCGGGAACCCUCCCUCCAGUCACUCUAAUUGGAGCAAGCAGCUGCUGUGCCCAGGGCACCAGGGGCUGCUCCUGGCACUCGCUGUGAGCUGUCAGCCCAGGACCUUCUCCGUGAUCAAUCGAAGGAGCCAGCUGGAGUCAGACCAAGAUUGAGAGCUGCGGUGGUCCUCCCGUGCAGAUGGCACCCCUGCCUCUGGGACGUGCCAACCCUGCAGCAUGGGCACACCAGGAGGUGUCCAGCUCCCAGGCCAGCCAGUUCUGCACCGAAAGGACACCACAGGGUCCCCCGGGAGCCUUCUCUCCGGGCUGAGCAACCCCAGCUCCCUCUGCCUGUCCUCACAGCAGAGGUGCUCCAGCCUCCUCUGGACCCUCUCCACGAGCUCCGUGUCCUUCCCACCUUGAGCACUCCAGAGCUGGACGCAGCACCACAGGUGAGGUCUCCCCAGAGCAGAGGGGCAGAAUCCCCUCCGCGGCCCUGCUGGCAUCGCUGGUGGCGCAGGCUGCUCGCCAGGCUCCCGCACCCAGCCCUGCUGAGCUCUCUCCGCCCGGCCCCGGCCCCGGCCCCGCUCCGCAGCUCGCCCCGGGAGCGCUCCCGGCAGCCGCUCCUUCAUUCCCCUCCCGUUGCUCCCGAGCAGCCCCUGCCUGACUCAGCCUCUGCCUUUUAACUACCUGCAGCGACCACUCCGUGGCCAGUAAAGAGCGCAGGAGCAAGUCCCUGGUCGUGCUGUCCGCGAUCCUUUUCCUGCCCGUUACCCUGCUCGGAUUUCUCCCAGCGCAGCCCCAGCUGUGGCGGGGAAGGAGCCAAGCACAGCUCCCCCCCCGCGCUGUCACGCGUGGAGCUCCUCCUGCUCGCCCCAGCCCAGCUGCUGGCUUUGAGGGCAUGGAAGGUACCUCCCUGUGGGUCUGCCAGGAGGAACCUCCACUGCUGGGGGCUCAGGCUGCAGCUUCAUGGAGUCACAGAAUGGGUUGGAAGGGACCCUAAAGACCACCCAGUGUCAACCCCCUGCCCUGGGCAGGGACACCUCCCCUAGCCCAGAUUGCUCAGAACCUCAUCCAGCUUGGCCCUGGACACUUCCAGGGAGGGGACAUCUACAGCUGCCCGCGGGCAACUCAUUCCAAGUGCCUCAGCACCCUGACUGGAGCAGGCUGCCCAGGGGAGUUGUGGAUUUCAGAUCCACUCAGACACGUCCCGGGGCAGCCUGCUCUGGGUGCGGCUGUGUGAGCAGGGGGUGGCACUGGAUGGUCCCCAGAGGUCCCUUGCGACCCCCUGCACGCUGGGGUCCUGUGAAAGCCCUGCCAGGCUGCUCCCCAGGGGCUGGCUGUUGUCUUCUCUUGUUGCCUGUAAAUCCUCAGCGUGCCUAAAGCCUCUCUGCUGAUAGGGAGCCUAACGCUGAGCCCUGAA